rnacentral:rRNA from 1 species
GACGAACGCUGGCGGCGUGCUUAACACAUGCAAGUCGUACGGUAAGGCCCUUUUGGGGGGGCGCGCGUGGGUGACGGGUGGGUAAGACAUGAGUAAGCAGCCCACCCUUUUCUGAUGGCGAUAGUAAGGUAGUUCUGGUACUUGAUAUGUACUACUGCUGCAUGGAUGGGGGUGGAAGGCUACGGCGGGUGGGGGUGGACUCGCGGGCUGUCAGCUUGUUGGUGGGGUAGUGGCCUACCAAGGCGGCGACGGGUAGGCGGCCUGAGAGGGGGACCGGCCACAUUGGGACUGAGAUACGGCCCAGACUCCUACGGGAGGCAGCAGGGGGGAAUAUUGCACAAUGGGCGGAAGCCUGAUGCAGCAACGCCGCGGGCGGGAGGACGGCCUUCGGGUUGUAAACCGCUUUCAGCAGGGACGAAGCUUUUUGUGACGGUACCUGCAGAAGAAGCACCGGCUAACUACGUG